rnacentral:lncRNA from 1 species
GAAGCUGUGAGCACGGUGAAGGGCAGGCUCCGUGCUCAGACAGGCUCCCUGGCUUCCCACCAACCUCAACUUAGCACUAAAGCUGGCUGCGAGGCAUCACUUUAAGGAGAGUUUUACACACUUAGAAGAGUGGACACGUCUGGGACAGCUUGUGUGAAAGAGAAGGAACAGGAAAGCGUGACAUCCAGAAGACAUACCAGACCUCCGUCAGCAGCUCCACAUCAUGUCUGCUCACCUCUGCCUUCAUGCUGGCAGCUGAAGCGGUUUCCACUGGGAGGCUUUGGUUUUCCUGAGAGACUUCAGCUCCCAGUUUGUCAGCAACAUGAACUGGGACAGAAAAGAAAUAUAAUCCUUCAGAGUGGGGAGAUCCUGAAGCGGAGCAGCACCAAACAUCUGAAUCUUCCUGAGCCUCUUCCAGGGUCUGAGCUCUGUUGAGAUCUUGUCUCAGCUCCUUCCCUGCCACUUCAGAGUUAAGCCCCUUCCCCAAAAUUCAGGCUGUUUGGCAUUCAUUCCUGCAGAGAGCUCCUUCAGCAGUGGAAUCUGCCCAAGAGGCACUGGGAAUGGGUAAGGACUGUGAGGUAAUAGUUGCUGUUAGGUUCCUGUCCUGAUGUAAAAGGGGACAGAUAGACAGUUUUGUUAAGGGAAUUUCAGAAAAAUGGGAAAUUGGCUCUGGAGAAACUGUUGUGGGAUCUCCUUUCUUUUUUCUAUUCACACAAAGAUUCUUGACUUUUAUUCUAAACCUAGGCAUAAACCUAUGCCUAUGUUUACUUCUCCUGUGUAAGAAAACAGCUGUUGCGUUUAUUUGAAGAGCAAACAAAACCCCAGUACCACUCCCAUCCCCAAGCCCAAUAAUCUGAUGGGGAUUAAACAGCUUCUACUGGCC